rnacentral:rRNA from 1 species
AACCUUUACACUGCCCGCCAGUGCGAUAAGGGGACUCCAAGUGCGAGGGCAUAUAGUCCUCGCUUUUCUGGACCGUAAGGAGGUCCAGGAACAAGGGCUGGGCAAGACCGGUGCCAGCCGCCGCGGUAAUACCGGCAGCCCAAGUGAUGGCCGCUCUUAUUGGGCCUAAAGCGUCCGUAGCUGGCCAGGCAAGUCCGUCGGGAAAUCCGCACGCCCAACGUGCGGGCGUCCGGUGGAAACUGCCUGGCUUGGGACCGGAAGACCUGAGGGGUACGUCCGGGGUAGGAGUGAAAUCCCGUAAUCCUGGACGGACCACCGGUGGCGAUAGCGCCUCAGGAAGACGGAUCCGACGGUGAGGGACGAAAGCUCGGGUCACGAACCGGAUUAGAUACCCGGGUAGUCCGAGCUGUAAACGAUGUCUGCUAGGUGUGACACAGGCUACGAGCCUGUGUUGUGCCGUAGGGAAGCCGUGAAGCAGACCGCCUGGGAAGUACGUCCGCAAGGAUGAAACUUAA